GAUUAAGUGUCGUAAGGGCAUUUGGUGGAUGCCUUGGCAUGCACAGGCGAUGAAGGACGUGAUACGCUGCGAAAAGCCGUGGGGAGCUGCGAAUGAGCUUUGAUCCAUGGAUCUCCGAAUGGGGCAACCCACCUUAAAUGCUUGGAAAAUUUAAGACGAUCUUCUGAUCGUCUUAUCUUUCCAAGCAUUGUGAUAAGGUAUCUUACUUUCGAAU
rnacentral:rRNA from 1 species